GGAAACGGAAACGUUUCAGAGCAGUACAGAGUUGUCCGUGGAAGCAAUGUGUUUGUUUCUUCCUCUAGAGCAGAGCAAUUGGUGCUGAGCAGCAUGGAAAACAGCUACUGGAAGACAGAGCCCUUUGAGGUUUAAGGAUGUGACAAGUAGGAACAACACAGUCUGACAUCUUUAUGCAGAUGAAUUCAAAUUUGGAUAUUUUAUUAGUUAUAUGGAGAGUUUAGUGUCCUUCAUCAGAUUAAAAUCUAGGAUGUGUCUUAAGAAGUGAAAAAUGCUACUCAUCUGGAAAGAUCACAGCUUCCUCUAGGAACACCCUUAUUCUCCCUCAAGAAGUGAUGCCCAAAAUUCUACCCUGGAAGGCACUGACAGCCAGAUACAAUCCACCUGGUAAUGAGGUAUUCACUGGCAGACAUAACAGAGACUUAUCUGCAGAAAGCUAAGUCUCAUAGGAUACUAACAAUACGGAGUGAGAAGAAGAUGGCCAGCAUCAUUACAGAUACAGUCCUGCCCUCUAAAAGACAGUUGCUGCUUCUGGAAAGGAACAAUGCAUCCUGAGGCCAAGGGAAGAGGAGGAGCCCAGGAACAACACUGAAGAAGGGAGGGAUGAGUAUUGUAAAUUUUAAAGAAAAGGCAACAAACAACACACAGAUUACAAUGCUGGCAUCUUCUCUGUAGUCAAUUUGAUAUUACAGACUGAAUUUUCAUAGGAACCUAUGGUCAUUUAAAACCAAGCUACUGAUGAACAUAAUUGGUAUAACAAGCAUCCAUCCACAGGCUGUCAUUCACUAUUUCUGUGUAAACAGCCAGAGACAAAGGAAGUAUGACUUACAGCCAGGAAGCAAGCAGUUUGAUCACUGGAUUGGGUAUGUUUGUUGUGGGCCAGAAUCUCUGCUGUCAUCCUGCCCUUUCUGUGCUACGUGAGGGAGUGCCCCUGAAUUGGAGAAUCAUGUGUUGCCUGGAAGUGGUAUGCCAGUCACCAUGAAGGGUCACAGUGAAGCCCCAUGCCAAGUUUUUGCUUUGUGCAGCACCUACUGCAGGCUGUACAAUGGAGUGGGAGGAGCCACUCCAUUGUCCCACUUGAGAUCAAGGAAGGGCCCUGUAUUUCAGCCUUGACAGACUCCACAUAGGUGCAGCUCAGGUGCAACAGGAAUUGCCCAAUUACUUCAGUUUUCAGAGCACAAGCACCACUUAAGAUUUUGUAGGUAUUUCUUUGGUUGAGAGGGGUUAGUAGCUGACCUCUACUGAUCUCAAGGACACUUUGGGGCAAAGGUGACUCUUUGGUCAUAUCUCCAGUCUCCUGAAUCCCACGUGCAUGCUCUAAGGGCAAUGAAUUCCCUUAUUUGUGAUUAUUUACAGCUGAUUAUAUAAAUGAAAACUUAUGGCUAUGUUAUUAUUUGUGUUACUGCCUUAGCUGCUCAAUACAAUUUUUCUUUCGGAAACCAUUUUUGCCUUAUAUGCCAGUGAAAUUUCUUGUGUGUUUGAUUUCAGACUUGCUCCAAUUCAAAGGACUUUGCUUAUAUAAACACUGUGUUUUGACUAUUUAAACCAACAUAACUCAUUUUUACUAAAACAAAUUGUAGAGUGAUUGCCUCAGAAAGGCUGGUCAGCAGAUGGAACUGAGAAGUGUCUUCCAACUGAUGUCAUUUGGGAGUGUUAAGUUCCUUAACUGGCACAUGUGCCAAAAGAAUAUGCAUGUACGCUGGCUCGGCAAGCCUUCUGGAGCAUUCAUUCUCAUCUGGUCAUCUGCACUGUGCCAACCAUGGGCCUCUGGUUGGGA